UACAUAGGUGGCGAGCGUUGUCCGGAUUUACUGGGCGUAAAGAGCGCGCAGGCGGUCGUUCAAGUCGCGUGUGAAAGCCCCCGGCUCAACUGGGGAGGGUCACGCGAUACUGAUCGACUCGAAGGCAGGAGAGGGAAGUGGAAUUCCCGGUGUAGUGGUGAAAUGCGUAGAUAUCGGGAGGAACACCAGUGGCGAAGGCGACUUCCUGGCCUGUUCUUGACGCUGAGGCGCGAAAGCUAGGGGAGCAAACGGG
rnacentral:rRNA from 1 species